UGCGGGGUGGUGUAAUUGGCAACACGCCUGACUCUGGAUCAGGAGAUCGGGGUUCGAGUCCCUGCCCCGCAG
rnacentral:tRNA from 2 species